rnacentral:rRNA from 1 species
CCUACGGGAGUCUGCAGUGAGGAAUAUUGGUCAAUGGGCGAGAGCCUGAACCAGCCAAGCAGCGUGAAGGACGAAGGUCCUACGGGUUGUAAACUUCUUUUGUAAAGGAAUAAAGUGAGGCACGUGUGCCUGUAUGUAUGUACUUUAAGAAUAAGGAUCGGCUAACUCCGUGCCAGCAGCCGCGGUAAUACGGAGGAUCCGAGCGUUAUCCGGAUUUAUUGGGUUUAAAGGGAGCGGAGUUGGGUUUUUAAGUCCGUUGUGAAAGUGUGCGGCUCAACCGUAAAAUUGCAGUUGAUACUGGCAGCCUUGAGUACAGUAGAGGUAAGCGGAAGUCGUGGUGUAGCGGUGAAAUGCUUAGAUAUCACGAAGAACUCCAAUGGCGAAGGCAGCCUACUAAACUGCCACUGACGUUGAUGCUCGAAAGUGUGGGUAUCAAACAGGAUGAGAUACCCUUGUAGUC